AUUAUGUUCGUUUAUGACAUAAUAAGUAUAAAAUUUGUACACAUUAUAUUAAGCACAGCUUGUGCUCCAGUGGUUGGGGGACAAAGGUUUCGUGCGGCAGGUUGAGGUUUCGAACCUUGCCUUCCCCGUUAUUUUAUUUAUGUCACUUAUGACAUAAUAAAUAUAACACGUGAGCAUAUAUUAAUGAAGGCAGCUCUUGCUUCAGUGGUUGGGAGCAAAACCUUCGUGUUUGAGGUCGGGAGUUCGAACCCUACCUCUUACAAAUAUUUUUGGGUCUCGUAUAUGCUUGAUAUACGGACGUAUAUACGGUAUGUACGGUAUACAUACGUAUAUACGGUCUGUACAGUAUGCAUACGUAUAUACAGUUGUACGGUAUGCAUACGUAUACACGAUCUGUACGGUAUGUAUACGUAUAUACGGUAUGUACAAUUUCAUACCGUAGCCGAGCUGGAAGUGGGUGGGCCGAUUGGUAGGCCCAAAUAGUAAGCCCAAUUGUUCGGCCCGAAUAGUAGGCCCAAAUGUUAAACCCAAAGUGGUUUGGGCCGGUUCGAAAUGUGGAUGGUUCGGUUUCUUCGGCCCAAUUGGCCAGCCCUAGUGCUUAGUCCAAGGAUUGAGCAAGCCCAAGUCAUCAUCAUUGGGUGACAUAAUUUAUUGGCGUGCUUUUGGGGAUGAUUUGUUUUGAGUGAUGCAUCUCUAUGGUUGUGAAGAGUGGUGCAUGCUUAAGUUUUACUAUGGAGAUUUACCGUGAUGCUAAUUGAGUAGCGAAACACUUUGUGGGAGUGUUUACUGUGCUUGUAUGCCAGUACAGAGUGAUGAUCUAUGUGAAGAUCUAUGUGAUGAUCUAUGUGAAGAUCUAUGUGAGGAUCUAUGAGAUGAUCCAUGUGACGAUUUUGUGUAUGUGAUGUGGAGUGUUGUUGAGCAGUUGUUGUGUGAGUUUACGUUUGUGAUGAAAGGAUUUAGUGGCCAUAGGAAUGUAUUUUUAUACAAGGGCUGUGGCUUUGUAGAUUACUACAGAUUUGGAAAAGAUGGAGAUUCUAUAGUUAGGUCAACCUUAAUCGAGAGGAAUUGACUUACGCUUAAAUUUCGGGACGAAAUUUCUUUAAGGAGGGUAGACUGUAAUACCCCGGAAAAUCCAAAUUAAAUUCCAUGGUUUUUUAGAAAUGAUUUCACGAUAGUAGGAGCGAGUACGAAGCUUGGAAAAGUUGUGGAAUUAGUUCGAACGAUUUUAUUUUCGAAAACGAACGUUUUUAGGGGGUCAACAAAGUUGACUUUUUAUACGUUCAAAAUUUUGGAAAACUUCCUUCAUGAAAGUUGUAGAGCUCGUCGAUACGAGUUCGUGGACAUGUGGAACGCAUUAUUUGGAGUUCGUAUGAAUAAGUUAUGAAUAUUUUAAAAUUGAGAAUUUUCUAUAAAUACAAAAAAUCAGAUUUCUCAAUAAGGAAACCCGAAAAUUUCCAGAUUUUUCUCCUCCUCGCUGCCUUGGCUUCACGGCGUCGCCACGACUUCAUCCGGCCACCUAUGGCCAUGAAAUUGAUAUCAAUCUCUUCGCCUUGAAACCAGCUUUCCAUUCAUAUAUGUCUUGCAUCCUAUCAUUCACCAUAGACAACGAAUCGAAGCAAAGAAGGUCAGACCAUUUUUCAUGCAUUUCUUCAAAUUCCAGCCAACUCCGGCAAAGGUAGGAGGGGAGACCAACUGGGCUUUGUUCGCCUUGCCAUGCUCUAUAAACUCACCAAGUUUCACAUCUCGAUUCAACCCGAGGAAGACGAAUUUCAGAUUUGAGCGAUUUUGGGCGAUUUCGGCCUCUUUCUUCUUGAGGUGAUUGGCGGAUUGAUUUGGCGGACGAUUCGUAAAAUCGUUGUUGAGCUGUUUAGAAGACGCAGCGGGAUUAUCGAGCGGGUAAUCCUACAGGACAGGAGAACCAGGACGGUGAUCGUGCGGUUAGAGCAAUUGUUAGAGUUUUACAACAAUUGUAAGUUGUGAGGUGUGUUAUGCUCAUUUGAGCUUUAUAAUAUAUUGUGAGAGUGAAUUGUAAUAAUGAACUCGAAGUUUCGAGAUUUGUUUUUUUGUAAUUGUAAUUAUUCAGGUUUCGGAUUUGAAUUUAUCAUUCAAAAUCCGGGGCGUGACAUUUACUCUUUCACACUCUUAUCCUAAA